AACAAAUUGUGCUAGGAGAACUGGCUGGCCAUAAGCAGAAAAUUGACACUGGACUCCUUCCUUACAACUUAUACAAAAAUUAACUCAAGAUGGAUCAAAAACCAAAAACUAUGAAAACCAUAAAAAAAAAUAACUAGGAAAUACCAUUCAAGACAUAGGGAUGGGCAAA